GACGAACGCUGGCGGCGUGCCUAACACAUGCAAGUCGAGCGCGCAGCCAUCGGUAGCAAUACCGGUGGUGGGCGAGCGGCGAACGGGUGCGUAACACGUGGGUAACCUGCCCCAGACUCUGGGAUAACCCCGGGAAACCGGGGCUAAUACCGGGUACUCUCGGCCGGCCGCAUGAUCGGCCGAGGAAAGCUCGGACGGUCGGGGAUGGGCCCGCGGCCUAUCAGCUGGUUGGUGGGGUAACGGCCUACCAAGGCGACGACGGGUAGCUGGUCUGAGAGGACGGCAGGCCACACGGGGACGGGUAUACGGCCCCGACUCCUACGGGAGGCAGCAGGGGGGAAUCUUGCGCAAUGGGCGAAAGCCUGACGCAGCGACGCCGCGUGAGGGAUGAAGGCCUUCGGGUUGUAAACCUCUUUCGGCAGGGACGAAGCGAAAGUGACGGUACCUGCAGAAGAAGCCCCGGCUAACUACGUGCCAGCCGCCGCCGUAA
rnacentral:rRNA from 1 species